ACUGUUCUGGGUAAGCGUGGCUGUUUCUUUGUUUGUCAGCUUUAAUCGUAGCAAUUAAUGCAAGCUGGUCUGAUCUGUUUAGCCUCCCUUGCUGCUCCUCCAACUCCUGGACCAAUCUGUUCGUUUGUUUGUUUGCUGCCGGGAAGCUGCGCUGCAUAGGCGAACUUGUGGAUCUGUUUAUCUGGCAGUGUGGUAAUUUACAGGGACUGAGGCUUCUGUGGUGGCGGUGGUGAUCCCUGGUGGCAGUGUCUUGUCUUGUGUGUUUUGUUGGAGCAUCCUUUUUUUGUGUGUGUUUUUGUAGUGUCCAGGGUGAUCCCUUUUUCUUCACUGGAUGUUGCCCCUUUCCUCACUACUCUCCCCCCUCUG